rnacentral:ncRNA from 1 species
UUGCGACUUAGACAGUACUUGAUGUUCUGCUUGAGGUAUCAGCAAUGAUUGAACACGAUGUUCAAUCAAGCCGUCAUUGAGCCAUGGAUGGCGAAUUGACGGCGUUUGCGUACGAUAUAGAUAUGUUGAAUCAGAACAUCUAGUACGUCUUAGUUGC